UGGGAACCUUCCCUUCGGUCGGGAAUAGCUCAGGGAAACUUGAGGUAAUACCGGAUACGCCCUAACGGGGAAAGAUUUAUCGCCGUUGGAUGGGCCCGCGUCGGAUUAGCUAGUUGGUGAGGUAAUGGCUCACCAAGGCGACGAUCCGUAGCUGGUCUGAGAGGAUGAUCAGCCACACUGGGACUGAGACACGGCCCAGACUCCUACGGGAGACAG
rnacentral:rRNA from 1 species